UACGUAGGUGGCAAGCGUUGUCCGGAUUUACUGGGCGUAAAGAGCGCGCAGGCGGUCGUUCAAGUCGCGUGUGAAAGCCCCCGGCUCAACUGGGGAGGGUCACGCGAUACUGAUCGACUCGAAGGCAGGAGAGGGUAGUGGAAUUCCGGGUGUAGUGGUGAAAUGCGUAGAGAUCCGGAGGAACCCCAGAGGCGAAGGCGGCGUCCUGGCCCAUUUCUGACGUUCAGACAUGACAGCAUGGGGAGCGAACGGG
rnacentral:rRNA from 1 species